GGACGCCAAACAAAGUGAAGACACGGGAACUCUGCGAUGAGGCGUUAAAUAAUAUCAAGUAAUCCAGGUAAAAGAGACCCGAGCCUGAACACCCAGACACCGGAUCGACCUCUCCCGUCUCCGGUAAGAUGAGCUCACCUUUGUCGAUGCUGAAGAAGAGGAGGCGCGCUCCUCUGCCGGACCCUGCGAGUGAACAGCGGGACAGACAGAAAGUGCCCAUCGGGAGGAACAUGUUAAAAGGAUUUCAGGCUGCUGGUGCUGAUGAUGAAUCCUCUGAUUCAACUCCUUCACCAACCGCAGCCAAUGAUGCCACCGCUUCAAAGCC
ensembl:lncRNA